ACUCGACACUAACAUGUAAAAACAUGUAGGAUCAUGUCAUGUUAGGAUCAUUUUUAUGUUGUUUCUAAUUUUACAGAAGCAUUGUAGUGACAUCAUUCCACAUAGAAGAGACCUCAUCAUUGUGACUUUCCACAUGUCUCCAGUUUGGGGCACUCACUUCAUUACAGUAUGUGAGUCUUGGGAAUGUGGCGAUUGUAAAGUGUGUGGCACAGAAGUAUCCAGUAGGUAUGAGUUAUUGAAACUAAUUCUAAGCUCAAACAUGGACAUUUUGGGGCUAGGUUCAGGCAUCCUAUGCAGCAUACCCCUCUGCUGUGAGUAAGACAUAAAUGCU